CCUACCAGGCUGCAGACAUGGUCCGGGAAGGAAUACAGUUGUGAGUCUGGGCUUGCCUCCAGACCUGAUGUGCUGUUCACUCAUGCCGGCUGCCAGAAGGUUACAGCUUCAGACAUCGCAAGGAUACAAGAGAGGCUACCUUCCAAGUCUUCACAGCCCAAUAUCUUACGAAUGCUCCUUCGAAAACUUCAAGACUCUUCUCCUCCUUCUCCACCCCUGACCAUGACCCUCCAUGUGGCACAGAAUGAAAGCAGGCAGUAUCACCAUCCACUCACUUCAAGGGACUGUGGCAGUGAAUUACUAUUUCGUGAUGACGAAGCUAGGCAAACUUCAACAACCAGCUACCUGAACACAUUUGCUGAGCUGCUCUGUCAAGUAGGAGGCCGGCUGAGGACGGCAGCAGCCAUCGUGAGGAACAGUGCUGGAGUGCACUGAGUACAGAUCGGCCAGCAGUGGUGUGGCUCAUGUGGAAGGAACUCCAAGUCUCCAAGUCUGAACUAACUGCUAAGUAAGACUGAAUGCCACUAACGCCGAUUACUCUGUUCAAGUCAGAUUUGUACUCAAGAUAUCAAAUUAGCAAGCUCAUCAAAAUUAAAUAACUACAUAGUUGGACACAAUUGGCAUUUCUAUUGGAACAAUUUGAAUUGCUGAUAUGAUAUGACCAUGAUUAUUAUGCAAAAUCGGUGGCAAAACAAAUUUCACACAGACCAAAGAAAAAGGCCGUGAAAGUGGUGAAAGUGGUUCGCCACCAACGCAGGCACAACCAAGGGUGUGAGAGCAGAGCCCGGUUAACUGAGGCAACAAAGCCAGUGGAAGACCUGUCAUCCUAAGAGGAGUCAGUGCUGGGCCAUUACAAACAAAGCCAUUCUGCUCUCCCCUUUCUUCUGGAACUCAGGCUCAUUCCUAGGAGCCCCUGCCCCUCUCUUCUUUGGCAGUGUCCUAAGAUGAACGCAGGUCCCGAGAGUGUGAGCGUGUGAGCGUGUGAGCGUGUGAGCACAGGCGUGGGAGGAAGCAGGGUGAUGUCUCUCUCUUAUAUACAUUUCUGGUCUGCCCUUCUUCUUUAAUCUAAUACUGCUCUCUGCUACCCAUCAGAACUCCGAGUACUGUAUAACGUAUUGAUACCCUCAGAGAAUUCUAUCACUGUAGUGGCAUAAAGCCCUAAAUUAAAGAAGCGCAUGGCUCCAUGAACACACGAACCACACAUGUAUCACUGUACCGACAUGCAUACUCUGAGGACACACAGUUGUGCCAGGACACAGACCCACUGUACAGCAUACGCCCGAUGAGAGGGGUAUGUAGAUAAAACAACAACACUCUCUCUCUCUCUCUCUCUCUCUCUCUCUCUCUCUGUGCAUUGUACCACUGUGCCGACACACUCAUCACCAUACUGGCACGUGCCACGUCAGAGCACGGCAACACUGUCUCGGAAUACAAACAUACCCUCUGGGCAUGGUGUCACUGUGCUGGCACAUAUGCUGUCAGAGCAGUGCAUGGCUAUACAGACACCCACCCCAGGCACGAUAGCAGUGUACUGACACACAUGGGCUUUCUGAGUCCUACAUGGGCUCAUACAUGUCUUCCUGACCUCUGCACAGAAAGGCCUUUAUGUAAUAGUUUUGUCCUUUACACUUUAAGGAAAAAUCCUGUUCACAGAUGGUCAUCUCAACAGAACAAUGAGUCAAUAUACUCUGCUGAAUAUGUUACCUGGUCAGGAAAAAAUUCUUGAAGAAAUGGACCCAACAAUAUGAUUCCUAAUCCUUCUGGAUCCAAUUUGUUCUUCAUGAGAUUUAUACUAUAGGGAGAAGAAAAAGAGAAAGGAAAAGAAAAACACUGAACACCAUAGGAGACAAAACCCCAUAAAACUAUUUUGUUCUUUCAUGAUUAAAUUUCUGGAACCACACGUUUGGAUGCCAAAAUCCUAAGAGCUAUUCUUUUUAGAACUUUAAUGACAAAUACGCAGGAAUGACACUUAAUUUGCCAAAACUUGGCUAUUUUUAAAUCAGAGUAAUCUGUUACUAUUUAAAAUUUAAAUUAUGACGAUGACUUUAGAAUAUUGUUCCUUAUUAGGUAAAGUAAUUUAAAAACCAAGGCUUAUAAACUCAGGGUAUAACUCCCAAAGGCAGAUUCCCUUUCCUCCCUGGGUACUGAAUUCAACAAUCAAAUGGAGCAUUUACUUUAAUAACAACUAUUUUAGGCUCCAGGAGUUGGAAAGAAGUAGGCCAAGAGGCAAUGGCAGAUCAGAUAAUAAAAGCAUGCCUUUCAAAAUGUUACUUUAAGACCCAGAUGAGGUAGAUGCUUAACAACCCUGGACAAUCUAACUUGAAGGCCACAGACGUAAAAGCCUGAGUCUAGGGAAUUGCAGAGAAUGUCAUGGCCCUUGCUGGUCCUGCUGCGACCUGAAGUAAACAAGCUGUAUGUUCAGCUCCUGCCAUUCAGGUGUAACGGAGGCUGUUGGAGAAUGUCAUGGACGAGCAGGUCUAAGAGGUAGGGAAAUGUAGGGUGAGGGUCAAAGGGUGAAACUGUCAAUGGUUUAUUUAGAGGUUUCUCCCCAGUGCUAUUUCAAACUCUAAAUGCCAAGUUAAACUUAGCCUAUUAUGUAACAAGCAAAGUGCCAUAUUUGGGGGCUAAGGGGCAUUGUGGCUGAUCAACUUCCCCGGGGUACUUCCCCAGUGCACAGGGGGAGUCUGUGGCUCAAGCUCUUUAGGGACAGACACUGGAGAAGGGCUGGAGCCGGAGCCAGACAAAAGGGUUUAACGAUUCCCUUCCUAGGAAGGUCUCUGUUUGGACUAAGUGAGUUCUAGGCUUUUUGUUUGUUUUAUUAGAAAUGGAACUUGAGGGAUGUGUUUGGGGAUAAAACUUUUAAAAUACGUUUUAUGAAAAGUUACAUCUUUGUGAUCUCUAGCCAGGCUCAGUAACAUGUGGUCUCAGCUCUAGCCAGGCUCAGUGACAUGUGGGCUCAGCUCUAGGAGUUGCUAGAGCAGGACCAUCACAGACCCAGGAUCAUCAGAGUGCUCUAUGCAAGGAGGAUGCAGAGGGGCUGAGGAAGGCCACUAAAUUGUGAUCUGAGACAAAGGCAAAGUCACUAUUUUCAAUAUAAAAUCUCAAGAACGAAGUCUUUUUAGAUAUAGAAAAUUCAAAUUAUAGCGAAAAACUUAUUUUAAAAAGCAAGACAACCAAUGGUGAGUCAAGAAGCAUCAGUAUGUUUAAUAGGUAUGUUAACCUCUGUCUUCAGAUUGGAUUAGGCCGUUUCCCUAAACUUUUAUUGUUUUGCUAUUUAGAUUUGUUUUUUUUUUUUUUGAAAAUGGGUAAAAAAUGUAUGUAAUGCUUCAACUUGAUAGAAUCUUUUUUGAGUGAUCAAAAUAAGAUUUCCAGUUAUACUCACUACUCGGGAUCUGAAACAAGGUCCAAGGCUUUCAUGACAUCCUCUAGAAGUGUGUCGGCUAUGAAUCCAUUAUCUGGAACACAUAUUAAAGAGAAGUGGGAAUAAGAACAUUUCUGAUCAGGUUCUGGGAGGAGAGAAUCCCUUUACAGAAAUCUGAGGAGUUGUCUGUUUUCCCAAUAAGGCUCACUGCUCCUAGGUACUCACUCAGAUGGAUUUUCUUAGAAAUACAGCCAGAGAUUUAUCUUCGAGGGAGGAAAAAAAAUGACUUAAGAACUCCAAUUAAACCUUAAAGUUAAACUAUAUUUUUUAAUAAAGGAGCUUUACAAACCUGCAAAUGGGUAAAAUCUCUUUCCACUUAAAUGAUAGCAUUAUUCAGUAAUUAGCUAAAUCUUUAAAUUGUCAUGAAGAAAUCAAAGUGAAAAGAAUUCUUUAUAACAAAUUCUUUUGUUUGGUUGUUUAUUUUCAAAACAGAGUUUCUGUGUGUAUCCUUGGCUGUUCUAGAACAUGUUCUGUAGACCAGGCUGGCCUCAAACUCAUGCCUGUCUCUGCCUACAGAGUGAUGGGAUUAAAGUCAUGAGUCACUACCACCCAGCACAAAUUCUGUUUAUAGUUACAGUUUCAUUGUACUACAUGUAGUGAUCCAGUUCUAUUUAGAUAACUGAUGGUGUAAAACUAAGAAAAAAAAAUUGAAACAGGCUUCACAUUAGCUAAUAGCUACAGAUUCAAUUUAAAAACAUUUCAACUGAACACAACAAAACAGCCAACACACCUCAGAAAAAAGCUAAAGCUGAAUGCAGCUGAGGCAAUGGGCUGUCUGAAAACUCCAGCCUCAGCAUAGGAGCUUGUCGCCUGCUUAGAAUCUGCAGGCUCCUUGCUCUCUGUACCUAACCUCUCUGUCCAGCCAUUUACUAUUCAUCUUGUACCAGCAUCUAGACAGGGACUCCAUCUGAUGGUCUGUCUGCUCCAUUCACCUCUCCCAAAACCAGAUCUGCCUUCACAUUCAAGACAUAGACCAGUCCCAAUCACACUUCGUCCCAAUCCCGCCCCCUUGGAGUUCAUCUGACUUCAUUCUACCUAAGCAAAAUGCAACCAUCAGUCACAUCCUGUUAGAAAACUACUCUACUACUACUCUACUCCUAGCCUACUGUGUCCAUAUCAGACAGAGAUUAGCAUUAAUUCAUUAUUAUUAUGUGGUUUCAACAAGCCACUUUAAGAGACUGAUCUGGGGAAAAAAAAAACCAGAGAAACAUUAAAAUCAAAUGAUAUCAUACAUCAAAUGGUCUUUACAGUACAGAAUAUUCCACCCAAAGAUCAAAGAAUACAUACCCUACCCAGCAGCCCUUAGACAUUUCUCUGGGAUACAAAUGCUAAAUUUAGAAAGUUUGAAAUAAUUGGCCAUAAUGCAACAAACUUAAGCUCAAGCCAGUCUCUAAUAAGUAUGCAAACUCACGGUGAAUAAGUAACUGAUUAUUGAACGAUACAUGGGUCAAACAAGAAAUCAAAGUAGGAAUAAAAAUGCUCCUGGAACAAAAUGAAAGCACAAAACCUCCCAGACACAUGGAGAGGAACACGGAGAACAAAAACAAAGCAAAACAACAACAAAAAAAGAGUACAAAUAACUUAAUGAUGCAUCUCAAAAAUGUGAAAAUCAAGGAUAAAUGAAACUAAAAACCAGUAAGCAACAAGAGAACAUAAAAAUUGUAGGGAUUAUAGGAAUAGAAACAUGGAAAACAACAAAUCUAAAGUUGAUUCUCUGAGAUGAUAACAAGACAGACCUUGGCUCAACCCAUUGAAAGGAAGGGAGGAAAAAAGGAAGGAAAGAAGACAGAUCCAAAUUCACAGAAGCAGAUGUGAAAAGGGAAAUAUUACAAUAAACAUCCAAAAAAAUUCAGAUCAUAAGGGAAUAUUUUAAAAACAUGAACUACAUUAUAUUGGAAAGUCUUAAGAAAAAGAAUUUCUAGAUUCAUCCAAAUCACAAAAAUUAAACCAAAAGGAGAAAAACAACCUAAAGAGACUCAUAACAAAUUAUGAGAUAGAAACAGAAACAAAAAUCCUUUUAGACUAAAAACAGUGUAGGACCGGAGGAAGGAUGAGAGAUUCACAACAUAAUUCUACCAGACUGUCAAAGAUCUACAACCAAUCCUUCUUAAAUUAUUAAACAAAUGAAAAAGGACAGAAAGAAAAAAGAAUACACACACACACACACACACACACACACAGAGAGAGAGAGAGAGAGACAGACAGACAGACAGACAGAGACAGAGAUAGACAGAGACAGAGAGAAAAGGAAACAGCAGGAGUAUCCUAUACUCCAUCUGUGAAGCCACUGUCACUUGAAUACCAAAAUUAGAUAAAACCCACACAAAAAGAAAACUAUAAGCCAUUAUCUCUGGAAAAGACAGACUCAAGGAUACUGGCAAACCAAAUGCACAAUCAUAAUCAGGUUGGCUUUAUACUGAACAGGUAGGAAUGGUUCAACACAAGCUAGUAAGUCAUGUAAGUGGAAUUAACAACAAAAAUCACAUGACCAUCUCAGUAGAUGCAGAAAAACUGUUUGACAAAAAAUCCAAUAUGCUUUCAUAAUAAACGUUUAAAAAGAACAGGACUAGAGGAAACAUACCUCAAUGUUUGGCCCACUGUGGUGGUUUGAAUAUGUUUGGCCCAGUGAGUAGCACUAUUGAUAGCAUGGCCUUGUUGGAGUAGGUGUUUUAUAGUGGGAAUGGGUUUUAAGACCCUCAUCCUAACUGUCUGGAAUCCAAUCUUCUCCUAGCAGCCUUCAGAUGAAGAUGUAGAACUCUUAGCUCCCCUGGACCAUGCCUGCCUUGACACUACCAUGUUCCCACCUUGAUAAUAGUGGACUGAACCUCUGAACCUGUAAGCCAGCCCCAAUUAAAUGUUGCCCUUUAAAACCCUAACUAAGAUAGAAGUUGGUACCAGGGAUUGGAAUAUUGUUGUAAUUUUUUUUUCGAAGACUAUAGAUUUUGGGACUUUGGACUAGGUGGAAUGCUCUAAGUGGGGCUUAAUGAGCUAUCUUAGAAAGAAUAUGGAAGCCUUUGUUGCUGAGGGCAAUUUGAACUGUGGAAGACUAGUUCUAAAAGUUUCAGAGGAAAAGAAUUUUAAUAUGUGGCCAAGAGACUGUUCUUGUGAUAUUUUGGUGAAGAAUGUGGUUGCUUUUUGCCUUUGUCUGAAGAGUCUACCUGAGUCUAAGGUAAAGAGAUUUAUAGUAAUUGUAUUGACAAAGGAAGUCUCAAGAAAACCCAACAGAGACUUCGGUCUCUGGUUAAGUCUCAUGAAGAAUAUUUUUAACAAACAUAACAAGCUUAAAAAGGAAAAAUAUAAGAUGAAUGGUUUAAGUAAUAAACAGGUACCAGGAAGUGAAAUGGAGCCGAAUCCUGUGUUCAAAGAAACAGAUUAAGGGAGUGGUGACUUUGUGGCAAGAUCCCACCCAGCUAAGCUUAUUGUUUGUGUGUUUGCCAUUGAACAAGAAAUAGUUAUAUCAUGUUAAGUGUUAUUAUUACUUGUCUAUUGUUUUCACUUAGAUUUUAAAUCUGGAAUGAACUACAAUCCAGAAAUGAAAGAUACAGGCUUUUGAUUUGGAUCUUGAGGCACAGUGACCAUGAAAAGCUUAGGCACAGGCAAGGUGGUACACACCUUUAAUUCCAGGAGACAGAGGCAAGCAGAUCUCUGAAUUCAAGGCCAGUCUGAGACACAGCAAAUCCUAAAUAGAGGAAAGUUUAAAUCCAGGUGUGGUUAAGACCAUAGCUUUAAUCCUAGUACUUCGGAGACAGAUAUGCAGGCCUCUGAGUUCAAGGUCAAUCUACAAAGCAAGUUCUAGGACAGCCUAGCUUACGAAGGGAAAGUUAGAAAACAGAAAGCUAAGGAUAAUAUACAAUAUAAAAAGGGGGGCCAUGUUCCAGCCCCAGCAAGCAGCAGAACUUGGCGGCUUCAGCCAUGUGACUCUGGCUGUAGAGUCAAGAAUAGAAGAGAUUACUGGGAAAAUUGAUGCUCGUUAGCUGGAGCUAAGAAAUCAGUGGUGAUUAAGAGACUAGCAUUACUCAGGUGAAAUCUGGGAAGUGUUUUCUGAGAGCACAAAGAAGCUAUGUUUCAGGUCAAGGUUAUACCUCCUGCUGCAACUGGACUUGGCAAUGUGUAAGAAUCAUUCAAGUGGUACCAGUUUUGAAAGCAUGGAGGGAUGGUAGAGAGCAGCUGAGACUUGGCACUGUGAGAGGCCUUGCCUUUGGUGAAGGAAGGUGAGCCUUAGUUGCAGUUGAUUGAUCAGGACUGAAGGGGCCAUGCAAAGAAGUUGAAGUUUGACACCAUGAAGAGAGACCAUGAGAGGCUAUUGGUGAAGCCUAGUUGUAACUGAAGAGCCCAGUGUAUUGGAGAUUCCAGUACCAUGGGAUGAUCACCAGAACAGCAGCAGCAGAGAGAGUAAGUCAACCAGAGCCUAGAGUGCUACAGAGGGCAGAGCUGGAGAAGUGACGCCAGUCCUUUGGAGGAGCCCAGAUGAUCAUGUGUGGAUCCCAGACAUUGGAACAAGAGGCUGUGAAGUUGAAGUUCACUUGGAGACCCCAAGAUGUUUGAGAUACCAGAGCUGUGGGAUACCUGCUGAGGAAAGCUGCUAACAGGGAGUGGAUCUAGCCCAGGAAAUAGAAGUUUGUUGUAGUCAACAAAGAUGAAAAAGGAGUGGAGAUCUGAAGACGGCUUUGCAGUCAGACAUGGAGACGCAGACUCUGGAGUGUGCCCGGCUGGUCUACUGAAGACUGCUUUGCAGUCAGACAUGGAGACGCAGACUCUGGAGUGUGCCCGGCUGGUCUACUGAAGGCUGCUUUGCAGUCAGACAUGGAGAUGCAGACUCUGGAGUGUGCCCGGCUGGUCUACUGUCUUACUUUGGGGACUACAGUUAAGUGAUUGGAUGAAUUUCAGAAGAGACUUUGAACUUUGGACUUUUAACAUUGCUGAGACUGCUAUAGACUAUGGGGACUUUUGAAGUUGGACAAUAUGUAUUUUGCAUUAUGCUGUGUUUAGGUAUGGUCCCAAUAGACUCGUGUUCGAAAAAGUCUAUGGGGGCCAGGGAGUGGAAUGUGGUGGUUUGAAUGUUUGUCCCAAGGAGUGGCACUAUUAGGUGUGGCUUUGUUGGAGUAGGUGUGUCACUGUGGGUGUGAGCUUUAAGACCCUCAUCCUAACUGCCUGGAAGUCAGUCUUCUCCUAGCAGCCUUCAGAUGAAGAUGUAGAACUCUCAGCUCUGCCUGCACCAUGCCUGCCUGGAUGCUGCCAUGAUCUGACUUGAUGAUCAUGGACUGAACCUCUGAACCAGUAAGCCAGCCCCAAUUAAAUAGUGUCCUUUUAAGUUUCUUGGCUAAUGGUGUCUAUUCACAGCAGUAAAGCCUUAACCAAGACACUCAGCACAAUAAAAGUUAUAUAUGAGAAACCUAUGGCUAACUUUAUCCUAAGAUAACAAAAACUGGCAGCAAUCCCACUGAAACCAGAAAUGAGACAGGGCUGUCCACUAUCCCCAUUCCUUUUCAAUAUUGUACUUGAAGCACAAUCUGAAGCAGUAAGGCAAGAGAGAAAUUAAAGGAGUUUAAGCAGGAAAAGAAGUUAAACUAUCCCUAUUUGAUGAUGACAUAUUAUAUAUAAGAGCUUCCAAACUGAUCUCGGCAAGACAACUGUAUGUAAGGCUCAGGGAACAUCAUGCAAGAGGGGACAGAAAAACUGUACAAGCCAGAGGACCAAAAGUCUGCUGUGAAUGUUCACCUCCUAGAAAUGUCAGGAAACUAUACCCAUGAAGUCCCAACAGCAUGUCUACCUAAAGAAGCCCUGAAUACAGGUAACAAUGGGCAUGCCAACACAAGUAACGAUGGGCAUGCCAACACAGGUAACGAUGGGCAUGCAAACAUGGAAGGAAAGUGUGCUGAGAAGGGGAACAUGGCCUUCUUUGGGGAAGAGCCCUUCAGUUCAGUACCCACAAAUGGUCAUUGCUGAGGUCACACACAUACAAACAACUAAUGGUACAGACUAGUCAGGCUGUAUUUAUAAUUAGGGAAUACAUACACACACUGAUAUGUAACAAUUGAAAAAAGAGGACAAGAAUUUGAGAGAGCAAGAGAAUGGCACAUGGGAGACCUGGAGGGAUGACAGGGAAAUGAUAUUAUUCAUUUAUGUUUUAAAAAUUAUGAAGAAGUUGAGUGUGGACAAUAAAAAUAUACACAAAAUAGCACAGAAAGUGACCCAAACUCUGCAGAUGCCAAAAUUAAAAUGACACAAGCAAAGUCUUGGGAGGGCAGUCAGAAAUGACAGAGGUUCUGAAGAGUCACAAGCUAUUCCCGUGCACAAUGCACAGUACUCAUUCCGAGAGGCUGCCUCUAUCUAUGUUCCAUUAGCAGUGAGCGAACAGCAUGUCUUUUUCUUUUUCAAGGGUUAGAUAAUUUUCUACAGAAUCUUGUCUAAGAUUUCUACUCCUGUAACAAGGCACACACAGAACACAGGGAGCCUCAUCUCACAGUCGUAGGCGGGUCAGGAUGAUACAAAGGCCUCUCCUAUUUGUUAUCGUUUUAAACACUAUCUAAGACAGACUGACCUUGUUUCAAAGGCCCCAGAUCACUUGUAAUAAUUAAAAUCACACAGACUUAAACGUGAAGGGUUAGCCCAACCACAACUUGUCCAGUUACAAAUAACUGGAGGUCUAAAUAAUAAAAUAACGUGUUUGAAAGCAUUUUCAAAGACCUUCAAGCCCAUAAGCUUGCUUUGAUGGAUUGGAAAGAUAGAGAAAACAAAUUAUGUUGUUUAGUUAGGUCACAGCUAACUAGAGCCUAGAGCCUCUAACUGUGAAACAGAUUUUAUUUGGCCACCAGCAGACAGGAGCAACCGUCUGGAAGUCUCCCUGCUUGCUGGCCGUCAUGGAUCUCUACCUGACGUUCAGCAUCUUAGGGAGCAUAGCAAAAAUGUCUCUUCCUGUGUCGUUGUCUGCACACUCGUGCCAGGCUAGCUUCAUUCUUUAAACUUUAUUGCUACUCUAGAAAAAUUCCCAUUAUAGCAAUUACCUGAGAGCAAAGCCCAGAUUCAAAUACUUUUCUCCAUGAAAUGAUCACCAGAUAAAAUUGUGGACUUGCUUAAAAGUUUCCCUAAGUGGGUUCAGC